rnacentral:tRNA from 1 species
GGGCCGGUAGUCUAGUUUGGAUAGGGCGUUGGCCUUCGGAGCCAAAAGUCGCAGGUUCAACUCCUGCUCGGCCCA